rnacentral:rRNA from 1 species
GGGUGAGUAACGCGUAUCCAACCUGCCCGCCACUUGGGGAUAACCUUGCGAAAGUAAGACUAAUACCCAAUGAUAUCUCUAGAAGGCAUCUGAAAGAGAUUAAAGAUUUAUCGGUGAUGGAUGGGGAUGCGUCUGAUUAGCUUGUUGGCGGGGUAACGGCCCACCAAGGCAACGAUCAGUAGGGGUUCUGAGAGGAAGGUCCCCCACAUUGGAACUGAGACACGGUCCAAACUCCUACGGGAGGCAGCAGUGAGGAAUAUUGGUCAAUGGACGAGAGUCUGAACCAGCCAAGUAGCGUGCAGGAAGACGGCCCUAUGGGUUGUAAACUGCUUUUAUAAGGGAAUAAAGUGAGUCUCGUGAGACUUUUUGCAUGUACCUUAUGAAUAAGGACCGGCUAAUUCCGUGCCAGCAGCCGCGGUAAUACGGAAGGUCCGGGCGUUAUCCGGAUUUAUUGGGUUUAAAGGGAGCGUAGGCCGGAGAUUAAGCGUGUUGUGAAAUGUAGAUGCUCAACAUCUGAACUGCAGCGCGAACUGGUUUCCUUGAGUACGCACAAAGUGGGCGGAAUUCGUGGUGUAGCGGUGAAAUGCUUAGAUAUCACGAAGAACUCCGAUUGCGAAGGCAGCUCACUGGAGCGCAACUGACGCUGAAGCUCGAAAGCGCGGGUAUCGAACAGGAUUAGAUACCCUGGUAGUCCGCACGGUAAACGAUGGAUGCCCGCUGUUGGUCUGAAUAGGUCAGCG